CGGCUCUUUCUGUUCCCGUCUUCUUCGCUCGACCCAAUAACCUUCCCCUCUCAAAUUCUCUUAUUUCUGUUCUUUCCGUCGACCGACAACCACUGCGAGGCUCUCUCCGUGUUGCUCGUUGCCCAACCAGGGUAGUACUAACCUAGAAGCUAUUUAGAUAAUCAAGAAAACGAGAGGAUCUUUAAAGGAUUCUUUUCUGGAUGAAGGGUGAGAUUAUUGAAUAUUCCCUUCUUAACUUAGUUCUCAUGGAGGCUCUAUCCACUGUACAUCUAAUACAACAUGCAAUAAGUUGAUGAAUAACUUCCCUCCAUCAAUCUGAUGCACACAUAUUUGGCAUUUCUUUAAUAUUGGAAUGUUUCAUCAAAAUUAUAUGGUGUAUUCCAACCAUAGACAUGAUCGACACGCAAUUAUUGUUGUAUAUGGUCUAGCAACAUCAUAUGUUGUUUAUUUGCAUAGUAAACCCAAACCUGGCGUCUAAGAAUGCUUAACAAAACUAAUUUGGAGCUCUACCUUUGUGUGAUUCUUGAUAAGAAAA